UGGGGAAUUUUCCGCAAUGGGCGAAAGCCUGACGGAGCAAUACCGCGUGAGGGAAGACUGCCUAUGGGUUGUAAACCUCUUUUUUCAGGGAGGAAUAAAAUGACGUGUACCUGAAGAAUAAGCAUCGGCUAACUCCGUGCCAGCAGCCGCGGUAAGACGGAGGAUGCAAGUGUUAUCCGGAAUCACUGGGCGUAAAGCGUCUGUAGGUGGUUUAAUAAGUCAACUGUUAAAUCUUGAGGCUCAACUUCAAAAUCGCAGUCGAAACUAUUAGACUAGAGUAUAGUAGAGGUAAAGGGAAUUUCCAGUGGAGCGGUGAAAUGCGUAGAUAUUGGAAAGAACACCGAUGGCGAAAGCACUUUACUGGGCUAUUACUAACACUCAGAGACGAAAGCUAGGGUAGCAAAUGGGAUUAGAUACCCCAGUAGUCCUAGCCGUAAACAAUGGAUACUAGAUGUUGAACAGAUCGACCUGUGCAGUAUCAAAGCUAACGCGUAAGUUCCCGCCUG
rnacentral:rRNA from 1 species